CCUCUAGAUGAUGAAGAUCUGGUCUCCUACAUACUGACCGGACUCGAUAUGGAUUUUAAUCCUAUUGUGUCUGCGGUCCUUGCUCGCGUCGAACCGAUUUCCGUCGGUGAGCUCUACACCCAGUUGCUAGCCUUCGAGC